AUUGAACGCUGGCGGCAUGCCUUACACAUGCAAGUCGAACGGCAGCGCGGACUUCGGUCUGGCGGCGAGUGGCGAACGGGUGAGUAAUGUAUCGGAACGUACCAUUGAGUGGGGGAUAACGUAGCGAAAGUUACGCUAAUACCGCAUAUUCUCUCCGGAGGAAAGCAGGGGACCGCAAGGCCUUGCGCUCUUUGAGCGGCCGAUAUCAGAUUAGCUAGUUGGUGGGGUAAAAGCUCACCAAGGCGACGAUCUGUAGCGGGUCUGAGAGGAUGAUCCGCCACACUGGAACUGGGACACGGUCCAGCCUCCCACGGGAGGCAGCAGUGGGGAAUUUUGGACAAUGGGGGCAACCCUGAUUCAGCCAUGCCGCGUGAGUGAAGAAGGCCUUCGGGUUGUAAAGCUCUUUCGGCCGGGAAAAAAUCGCAUGGAUUAAUACUCUGUGUGGAUGAUGGUACCGGAAUAAGAAGCACCGGCUAACUACGUGCCAGCCGCCGCCGUAACAC
rnacentral:rRNA from 1 species